GCCUUCGUGGUGUAGUGGUCAACACACUCGGCGCGUAUUCGAGAGGUCCUUGGUUCGAGUCCCAGCGAGGGCA
rnacentral:tRNA from 1 species